GGGUUGUGAGGUUAAGCGACUAAGCGUACACGGUGGAUGCCCUGGCAGUCAGAGGCGAUGAAGGACGUGCUAAUCUGCGAUAAGCGUCGGUAAGGUGAUAUGAACCGUUAUAACCGGCGAUUUCCGAAUGGGGAAACCCAGUGUGUUUCGACACACUAUCAUUAACUGAAUCCAUAGGUUAAUGAGGCGAACCGGGGGAACUGAAACAUCUAAGUACCCCGAGGAAAAGAAAUCAACCGAGAUUCCCCCAGUAGCGGCGAGCGAACGGGGAGCAGCCCAGAGCCUGAAUCAGUGUGUGUGUUAGUGGAAGCGUCUGGAAAGGCGCGCGAUACAGGGUGACAGCCCCGUACACAAAAAUGCACAUGCUGUGAGCUCGAUGAGUAGGGCGGGACACGUGGUAUCCUGUCUGAAUAUGGGGGGACCAUCCUCCAAGGCUAAAUACUCCUGACUGACCGAUAGUGAACCAGUACCGUGAGGGAAAGGCGAAAAGAACCCCGGCGAGGGGAGUGAAAAAGAACCUGAAACCGUGUACGUACAAGCAGUGGGAGCACGCUUAGGCGUGUGACUGCGUACCUUUUGUAUAAUGGGUCAGCGACUUAUAUUCUGUAGCAAGGUUAACCGAAUAGGGGAGCCGAAGGGAAACCGAGUCUUAACUGGGCGUUAAGUUGCAGGGUAUAGACCCGAAACCCGGUGAUCUAGCCAUGGGCAGGUUGAAGGUUGGGUAACACUAACUGGAGGACCGAACCGACUAAUGUUGAAAAAUUAGCGGAUGACUUGUGGCUGGGGGUGAAAGGCCAAUCAAACCGGGAGAUAGCUGGUUCUCCCCGAAAGCUAUUUAGGUAGCGCCUCGUGAAUUCAUCUCCGGGGGUAGAGCACUGUUUCGGCAAGGGGGUCAUCCCGACUUACCAACCCGAUGCAAACUGCGAAUACCGGAGAAUGUUAUCACGGGAGACACACGGCGGGUGCUAACGUCCGUCGUGAAGAGGGAAACAACCCAGACCGCCAGCUAAGGUCCCAAAGUCAUGGUUAAGUGGGAAACGAUGUGGGAAGGCCCAGACAGCCAGGAUGUUGGCUUAGAAGCAGCCAUCAUUUAAAGAAAGCGUAAUAGCUCACUGGUCGAGUCGGCCUGCGCGGAAGAUGUAACGGGGCUAAACCAUGCACCGAAGCUGCGGCAGCGACGCUGAUGCGUUGUUGGGUAGGGGAGCGUUCUGUAAGCCUGCGAAGGUGUGCUGUGAGGCAUGCUGGAGGUAUCAGAAGUGCGAAUGCUGACAUAAGUAACGAUAAAGCGGGUGAAAAGCCCGCUCGCCGGAAGACCAAGGGUUCCUGUCCAACGUUAAUCGGGGCAGGGUGAGUCGACCCCUAAGGCGAGGCCGAAAGGCGUAGUCGAUGGGAAACAGGUUAAUAUUCCUGUACUUGGUGUUACUGCGAAGGGGGGACGGAGAAGGCUAUGUUGGCCGGGCGACGGUUGUCCCGGUUUAAGCGUGUAGGCUGGUUUUCCAGGCAAAUCCGGAAAAUCAAGGCUGAGGCGUGAUGACGAGGCACUACGGUGCUGAAGCAACAAAUGCCCUGCUUCCAGGAAAAGCCUCUAAGCAUCAGGUAACAUCAAAUCGUACCCCAAACCGACACAGGUGGUCAGGUAGAGAAUACCAAGGCGCUUGAGAGAACUCGGGUGAAGGAACUAGGCAAAAUGGUGCCGUAACUUCGGGAGAAGGCACGCUGAUAUGUAGGUGAAGCGACUUGCUCGUGGAGCUGAAAUCAGUCGAAGAUACCAGCUGGCUGCAACUGUUUAUUAAAAACACAGCACUGUGCAAACACGAAAGUGGACGUAUACGGUGUGACGCCUGCCCGGUGCCGGAAGGUUAAUUGAUGGGGUUAGCCGCAAGGCGAAGCUCUUGAUCGAAGCCCCGGUAAACGGCGGCCGUAACUAUAACGGUCCUAAGGUAGCGAAAUUCCUUGUCGGGUAAGUUCCGACCUGCACGAAUGGCGUAAUGAUGGCCAGGCUGUCUCCACCCGAGACUCAGUGAAAUUGAACUCGCUGUGAAGAUGCAGUGUACCCGCGGCAAGACGGAAAGACCCCGUGAACCUUUACUAUAGCUUGACACUGAACAUUGAGCCUUGAUGUGUAGGAUAGGUGGGAGGCUUUGAAGUGUGGACGCCAGUCUGCAUGGAGCCGACCUUGAAAUACCACCCUUUAAUGUUUGAUGUUCUAACGUUGACCCGUGAUCGGGUUGCGGACAGUGUCUGGUGGGUAGUUUGACUGGGGCGGUCUCCUCCUAAAGAGUAACGGAGGAGCACGAAGGUUGGCUAAUCCUGGUCGGACAUCAGGAGGUUAGUGCAAUGGCAUAAGCCAGCUUGACUGCGAGCGUGACGGCGCGAGCAGGUGCGAAAGCAGGUCAUAGUGAUCCGGUGGUUCUGAAUGGAAGGGCCAUCGCUCAACGGAUAAAAGGUACUCCGGGGAUAACAGGCUGAUACCGCCCAAGAGUUCAUAUCGACGGCGGUGUUUGGCACCUCGAUGUCGGCUCAUCACAUCCUGGGGCUGAAGUAGGUCCCAAGGGUAUGGCUGUUCGCCAUUUAAAGUGGUACGCGAGCUGGGUUUAGAACGUCGUGAGACAGUUCGGUCCCUAUCUGCCGUGGGCGCUGGAGAACUGAGGGGGGCUGCUCCUAGUACGAGAGGACCGGAGUGGACGCAUCACUGGUGUUCGGGUUGUCAUGCCAAUGGCACUGCCCGGUAGCUAAAUGCGGAAGAGAUAAGUGCUGAAAGCAUCUAAGCACGAAACUUGCCCCGAGAUGAGUUCUCCCUGACUCCUUGAGAGUCCUGAAGGAACGUUGAAGACGACGACGUUGAUAGGCCGGGUGUGUAAGCGCAGCGAUGCGUUGAGCUAACCGGUACUAAUGAACCGUGAGGCUUAACCUUACAACGCCGAAGCUGUU
rnacentral:rRNA from 1 species